rnacentral:rRNA from 1 species
ACGAACGCUGGCGGCGUGCUUAACACAUGCAAGUCGAACGGAAAGGCCCUGCUUGCAGGGUACUCGAGUGGCGAACGGGUGAGUAACACGUGGGUGAUCUGCCCUGCACUUCGGGAUAAGCCUGGGAAACUGGGUCUAAUACCGGAUAGGAGCCAUUUUUAGUGUGAUGGUUGGAAAGUUUUUUCGGUGUAGGAUGAGCUCGCGGCCUAUCAGCUUGUUGGUGGGGUAAUGGCCUACCAAGGCGGCGACGGGUAGCCGGCCUGAGAGGGUGGACGGCCACAUUGGGACUGAGAUACGGCCCCGACUCCUACGGGGGGCAGCAGUGGGGAAUAUUGCACAAUGGGCGCAAGCCUGAUGCAGCGACGCCGCGGGGGGGAUGACGGCCUUCGGGUUGUAAAAUCCUUUCGCUAGGGACGAAGCUUUUUGUGACGGUACCUAGAUAAGAAGCACCGGCUAACUACGUG